rnacentral:lncRNA from 1 species
GACCACCAAGUGAAGCCCUGGGUGACAGACUGAGUUACCAACAUCCACAUUGCAUAGGUAAAGCUAAACCGGAUUAAUUUCUCUGCUUGCAACUGGGAAAGUCUGGAUAUGGAGUGUCCAGAGCAAAGAGUUCUUCAGAUGAAAUGUCUUGAGCAUCCCACUGAAAUAUGAAUUAAUUAAACCAGAGAGAAAUUUCAGAGGUUUGAAAUAUUGCACGUUCACCCAUACAAAUAUCCCAGAGGUGAUGACAUUUUCCCUGCAGAAGGCUGAUUAUAAAUCAGUCACAAUUGGAUAUCUCUGCAGAAGUGGCCAGCAUGAAGAGGAGAGAGCCUGACUUUC